AGUGAACGCUGGCGGUAGGCCUAACACAUGCAAGUAGAACGGCAGCACAGUAAGAGCUUGCUCUUACGGGUGGCGAGUGGCGGACGGGUGAGGAAUACAUCGGAAUCUACUUUUUCGUGGGGGAUAACGUAGGGAAACUUACGCUAAUACCGCAUACGACCUACGGGUGAAAGCAGGGGAUCUUCGGACCUUGCGCGAUUGAAUGAGCCGAUGUCGGAUUAGCUAGUUGGCGGGGUAAAGGCCCACCAAGGCGACGAUCCGUAGCUGGUCUGAGAGGAUGAUCAGCCACACUGGAACUGAGACACGGUCCAGACUCCUACGGGAGGCAGCAGUGGGGAAUAUUGGACAAAGGGCGCAAGCCUGAUCCAGCCAUACCGCGUGGGUGAAGAAGGCCUUCGGGUUGUAAAGCCCUUUUGUUGGGAAAGAAAAGCAGCAGGUUAAUACCCCGCUGUUCUGACGGUACCCAAAGAAUAAGCACCGGCUAACUUCGUG
rnacentral:rRNA from 1 species